AAUCCCAUUAAAAUACUGUGUUUCGCAUUCUCUGGAUAGCUGAGCUUCCUGACCGACAUUCCUCCCGGAGCUGGGGAGGAAGCUUGACUCAGCUCAGCUCUGCUUGGAGUCCUGAGGAACAGGCUAAAUGCAUGGUGGAUCAGGGCAGCAUUCCGGAGUCAGGGGCCACGGGGCAGGUUCCCCCCAGCUCGGGGUCACAGGACAGAAGGAGAGAGGAAAAGAGUGUGGAAAGUCGGACUGCAACUGACUGCAUGCUGACGUCAUUGUCCAGGCCAGCCGCAGCUGCUCCUUCCUGGAAAGAGGCUCGAAGGCCCCAGGACAAAAAGAUGUGAGGGGGAAUUACUUGAAGUGGGACACAAACAGAAACCAAAGGCAAAGCAAAAACUUUCACAUGCUGCUCAGGGCAAUCUGCUCGUGCAAAAUCGAAUCAGUGAAGCCAAUGCCAUGUCUUUGCUGCCCGCUACAACUUUAAAGUGUAUUUCACAGAGUUUUGUUUUUGGUUUUCCCCCUCAGCGAUGUCAUUUGGAGAAUGUUCAAAAAUGGCAAAGCAAAGAGAAGAGACACAUUAAAGAUUUCUGGAAAACGACUUUUAACACACUUUAGGCCCAUCGCUAGCUAUUGCAAAUGUAUUCAGCUCUUCCCUGAAAGGCAUUAGCAGUGAGGAAUAAAAUCAAGUCCUGCCAGGAAUCUCUCACGAUCCCUCCCACGCAUAGUUGAUUAAUGGACUCUAGUUAGGCUGGGUUUUAAUAUGCUUUGCUAUCCGGUGGCACAUGGUCGGGGAGCAGAGAGGCCGAGUCCUGGAAAAGGCACGUGUGCAGAGCACAUGACCUUGGGCGGAGUUCUGAGUGGGAUGAAUCCAGGGACUUUGAUGGUGGACACAAUGAAAGAGACAAUCAAUCUCUACAGAUCUGCUAUGGAAGAAAAACCACAGCCCAUCCGCAUACCCCAGAGGACCCAGGGAGGAGCAAAACAGAAACCGGAUCUCCAUAGGAAGCGGUGUUACCAGAACGCCUGGGGCCGCGGUAGAAUUCCUGACCUUGCCAUAUCUCUAGCACACUCUGGGUGCCAGUGGCUGGGAAGGGGGUGGAAAGAACUCAAGCGGAUGGCAGAACCACGUUUGAUGUACGAUGUGAGGUCCCGGUUUCCUGCUCCUGCUCCUGCCCCACACCUCAUUUCACUCCUGUGGACUCUUACUCUUCAGGAACAGUGACACUAGCUGAUGUCAAGUUGACAAGACAACAACAAACCUAACGAGCAUAGCACAGAUGGAUGCAAAUGGAAGCUGGAAGGUCAUUAGGAGAAGUUCCUGCCCCCCAUGACCUACUGCUAGAAGAGCUGCUUCCGGUCUAUAAAGCAAGCAGCAGGUGCCCAGGACUUACUGCUGAGCCCCUUGCAGGCUAAGCUAGACAAAGGGUCCUGAUUUCCCAGGAAGUGUCUGUUGGAGUGGGUACAGUACGGCUGUGGAAACACAAAGGAGCUGCCUCUCUCCAUCCCGAAGCGGUAAUAAGUUCUCUACCCACGAAGGGACACACUUGCUCGGGAUAGAGCAGGAAAGAUCCCGUCAUCAACAAGGCAAAGCACAAGGUGCUUGGGCUUCACUUCUAGACUUAAUCUCCCUCCCAUGCAGAUGUGCUGAACCUUCCAGAAACUGGUCUUUGUCGCCCCAAGCAAACAGCCACAUAGAAAAUCUGUGAGUCAGUCAGCCUGUUCCUGUUGGUCCACCCAGGCUGGAACACACUAAAAGCCCAAACAAAACAAGUGUGGCUCUUACAAGCAGGAGGACGAUAAGGGAUCCGGUUAGAGGCUUUGCCCAGUGACCCACUGGCUGUUCAUUCUGUGAAUUCUGCCCAGGAAUUUACAAGGAAUCCAAGGUCUGUGAUUGGGAAACUGGGAAGAGAGCCAUCAGGCCGAGUUGGCAGUGAAAAGCUGGGUGAAACAGCGGAUAUCUGGUAAGAACUGGGCUGAGUUUUAUCCACACUUACUCCCUCCCCUCAGAAGUGCAAAGGAAGACUACACCGCCUUAUCCCGUUGCAAAAAUGAAAAAUCAUUUCUUAUAUGGAACUGAACACUGAGUCCUAGAGACAGGGAGGUAGACCCACUGCCAGAAAUGACAUCAUUAGGUAGAACAAGCCAAGGCCUUGUGACUCCAACAAUGGCUCCCCCGUCCAAUGUCACCACAUCAACACAGCCUCCGGAAGAUCUUGGCCCCUGCAGGUCUGGUGCCUGUCUGUUCCCACAAUGCUUUUCUGCAGACAUUUACCACUCUCUCCGGUCAAAGGCAUCUAAGCACUUGUCAAGGUGUCCUGAGAUGGAUUCUCUCUGCAGUUACUUGCUCACUUUUCCUGAAGGGGAAAGUGACCUCCUCAUGGCCUCGCUUGUGGAUCCCUAGCCCCUUGUGGGGUGGUUCUGAGUAUCUGAAGCAGCCGCUUUGGAGAUGGGUGGUCCUGAGUUCAAGACAUACUUUUUAAUCUGUGUAAUCUUAGACAAAUUAUUUAAUAUCUCUUUGCCACAGAUUCCCCCAAGUUUUAAAUGAGAACAGAAACCAUUUCCCAGCACAGUCAGGAAGAUUAAUGGAUCAUUAGUAUCCAGCAAGGGGCCUGAAUGUGGUAACAGCAGAAUAAAGCUGUGACUGUCUCGGGAACCCCAUUACUCACCUGCCCUGGAUUGUGGCAGGGAAGAAUAGUUUCAUAGAUGGAGAAGACCCCUGUCCCCCCAAAGAAAGUGUGACUCACAGAGCAGCUUUCUGCCUUGCUGCAAACCACCCACCCACAGUCCCCUCUCCUUGAUGUCACCACUAUUAGACUGUUCUCCCAUUACACUAGAAGAGAGGGUUGAGGGCCAGCCUCUGCCCAGAAUGGGGACAUCCCAAGGCAAACCAGAAAGCAAAGGAAGCUGAAGGAGGCAGCUUAGAUGUGCCCUCUCUCGGGAGAAGCAGCCAUAAAAGAGCUCUGGCUGCUGCUUCCCUCUUGAUAAAUGCCCUCUGCUUCUCCAGCCAGAGCGACUGCCAGGAGUCAGCCUUGGUUGAAGUUGUAUGUUUUCCCCUGAGCAGUGACCUCAGUGCAGUCUUUCUAGGGAUUCAUAAUCCCUGGGAAUGCUGACAGCCCCAAAGUCACUGCCUCCUCCCAACUCUGCUCUUCUGGUGACAAGGAGGCCUCCAGCUCCUCAGUGGGAUAGACUCCAGGACUGCAGGGAUGGCUUCUCUGUCACUGUAACUCACAGCUUCCUGAAUGCUGAUGGACCUACCAGGCCACUGGGCACCCAGGGCUAAGCCUUUGCUGCUCACCUUCAGGUUCAUUGGUUCUCAGAACAGGGAAAGGAAGGGCUGAUGGGGACCCACCUGUGUGACACUCUGAGGCUGAUUAGAAGCUCCAUCAUGUUGAGUACCAGGUAUAGGAAGAACACUAUGAAGACCCACUGGGAAAACACAUGGUAAGGAAGGGAAUACAGGGCUAGAUGGGCAACUAACAGCCUCUACCAGGCUGGGACCUGGCAGAAACGGAAGAGGAGGGAAGGGUGUUCUGGAGAAGCUAGUGGGUUAGGAGAAGCUAGGUGUUGGCAAGUGGAAAUGGGCAAGGUAUUCCUAGUGGAGUGAGUGCUGAUGGCACUAAAGGUAGAGACAGAGAUACAGCCCCACCGUCACCUGCUGCGGCUUGAGGAGUUCCUUUAAUAUUUUAGGGACCUCAGCUCAGGUAAAACUGGACGAUCAGUUUCAAAGCAGAAAAGAAUUUCAGGACCAGCCAGUAUGAAGCGUAGUAGGAGUUUAUUAAAACUAGGAAGGUGGUUGUGGUGGUCAAGCCUUUAAUCUUGACUCUUGGGAGGCAGAGGCAGGAGAGUCUCUGUGAAUUUUACAGCCCAGCCUAGUCUACAUAGGAAGUUCCACUCUAGCCAGAGGUACACAGUGAGACUCUGUCUCAAAGAAAAUAAACAAAUAAAAAAGAAAAUAGAAAAAAAAGGCAAUUAGGGAGAGGGGAAAGGGGCCUACAUCAUGGCUGUGAACUUCUCAAAGAAAAGUUGUAGUUUACUAGAAGGUAUUUUAAUAGAAUAUGUUUUACUUAUUCUUUGAUAAUUGCAUAGGUAUAAACAAUGUAUCUUUGUGCAUCCCUGACUCCCCAUUCCCACUCCCCCAGGAGCACCCAACAUGUCACUCUCCUGUCUGUAUGUCUUUCCUUUCUUUUUAACAACCCACCAAAUCCCAUUAGCAUUGGAGUUGGAAUGGUGAGUGAUCUUGUUGGCUUGAUCUUGUCCAGAUCUUGUGCAGCUAACCGAUUCUGCAGUGAGUUCAUGGGUAUAGUGGCUACAUUGUGUCCCAAAGACAGCUUUUCAUAGCCAUCUUCCUCAUCCUCUGGCUCUUACCUUCUUUCCACCCUUCUUCAAUGUUCCCCGAGUCUCAUGGUGGUGGGAAGGUGUUUGAUAUAGAUGUCCCAUUUAGGAAUAAGCCUUCAGUAGACAUAUACUCUCAGCACUUUGACCAGUUAACUGCCGACCACUACAGAGAGAAGCUUCUCGAAUUAAGGUUGAGGGCAGUACUGUGUGUAUAAACAUAAACAUUUAGAAAGUGGUUGACAAUUGUGUCCAUUUAGAAAAAAAUGACAGUAAUGGGUUCCUCCCUAGGGCCUGUAAUUUCUUGAGCCACAGGCUUUUGGCCAGGUUAAUGGUACCAGGCUUGAAUUCCUUCCUGAGGAGCAAGCCUUAAAUCCAAAUCAGAGGCAGUUGUUACCUCUACAGCAUUCAUGCCACAACUGCCUCAGUUGGAACAUCUUGUCUGGCAUUAUAUGUAACAUGCAGUGUUGGCUACAGGAUGCCACUGAUGUCUUUUCUCCCACAGUAGCCUUCAGAGCACCUUUUAUCACUAGGAAAGCUAGUCAUUAGGGGGAAAGUUUCAGGUCACUUCCAGCUUAAUUUAUCUAUGUUAAAAGAUCUCUAACAUAGAUUUUAAGCCUGGUUAACCAAGAGAGGUGUCCUGGGAAAGAAUAAGAUACAUCCAAGAGCACUCACUAUGGAGCUCCUCAGACACAACUAAAUGCCUCUUGGCAUUAGCCAUGUACACCAUUUUGCUGGCUCUCAAGUUACAUCUGAAAAUGUUCUUGUCCUACUCUUGUGAUAAGUGAGAUUACAGGGUGACUCUAACUCUUGGAUGGGACCGUAAUCUGACAGUGUGAAACCAGGAGCCACUCGGGUUAGGUGGAAGUUUCCGACACAUCUUUUACUGUAAAUAGGCUUUCUCGUGAGGUUCCUGGAAAAUUGUUGGUCCACAGCUGGCUUCUGAAAGGAGAACGGCCUUGUGAAUGAGAAUUCCUGGAAAGAAACUGUUUACCCUGGCUGAUUAACUAAUUAAAACUUCAAAGACAUGGAGAGGUUGGAAUCUUGUUGUUUCAACCCUAAUUACAAUUUAUGUGCUUAUCAGCGUAAUAAACAGCCAUUCCUAACCCUGGCUGCACCAGACCUAAUGUCCUACUAUUAGCCGGGCCUGAUAGCCUAUGAACAGGUUAAAACCUUUGCAAUAUAGUAACUUGACAGAACUCUGUUCUCCACUAAUCAAGGGCUAAGAAUGCUAUCAGAUAACAUCUAUUGCCUACAGCUGCAAUCUCCCCACUGUUCUCUGCCUACUUAAUGUUUCAACAGAUGCAUUUUAAAACCACCUUGAUUUAUAAUUUUCUUUGUGCUGUGACUAUAAAAGCUCCAUGAAACUGUUUCCACACUGGGGCAUGGAACCUGUGGUAACCCAGCUCUGUGUUCUGGACCACAGUCACUCAUGCUUUUACUCCAGAAUAGGCUCUCUUAUUCCCUUUGAGUUGAGAAAUGUUGUUUUGGCUGGACAGUUUAAGCAAGUGUUAACUGUGUUGGGAUUCUUGACACUCACCUGCUGAGAGUCUUCAAUCAGACUCUAAGGUAAUGGCUACGUUCCCUUCCAGGUCCCCACAAUUUUCCCUUCUAUCCCAUCACAGCAGGAGCUCUGUAGCACAGGUUAGGAGCAGAUUGAGAAAUGAGAUCUAGGGCAGCCAGCUGAAUGCUGGGGAUGUGACCUUGGGAUGUUCCUGUGAGCCUGAAAGAGGCUGGCCCCAGAAAGGGCUUAGUGAUGAUCACAGCCCAGGAAGGAACUUAGGAGUCAUGGUCUGUAGCAAUGGGGACAAAGCCCAGAGCAGGAGGACAAGGGCAUUCAGUCAAGGACACAGCACCAGCCAUUCCUCAGCUACAAUGGGAGGAGCGCUGGCACCAGUGGCCCAAGUCAAGGCUCCCUGAAAGCAGCUGUGUGGCCUCCAUGGCUUGCAGGUUGGGCAGUAGGACAGUGUCCCUCUGAUGUGCCUCAAGUGUGAAUUUCACCCUGUCUGCUGCAGUGAUCUCUCUCUUUCCUCCUUCACCUGGUCUUUGGGAAGGUGGAGGCAUCCAGGUGCCCUGCAUGGCAGAUGCGUGUGAUACAAGGUGUCCUGGACAUUCUCUACUUGGUCCUCAGGCCCACCCUCCACCUUUCUCCACCCUUCCCUGUGCCUUGGGAGGAGAUUCUUUGGGCUGUCAGCCUAGCUGACUCACCUUUGGCUUCCAUUGGGUCCAGCUGUAUGGCAUAAUAAAAACCUUAUCGGGUCUUUGUCUCCAGGUUGCUGGCACCUUGGGAUUUCCUGUGUGAUAAGAAAUGCUUUGUUAUGCAUAAUGACUUUUUAAAAAAAAUGUCACCAGAGUUCAUGCUAAUGAGAUGACUCAAUAUAGGGCCCUGUUUAGCUUCCCAGAAGGACUGGUCACCAGAACAGACUGAACGAAUCCUUCAAGAGUCAGAGACUUUAGCCCCACCCUAACCUCCACAGUGGGAAAGGACUAGAGAUAGGGUUGUAGAGGAGAUCUAGUGAGAUGGUGUGUCCAGAGAAGGUGUGAAAGCCAUGGAAGUUCUGUACCACCCUACACACACACACACACACACACACACACACACACACACCACCUGCCAGGCAAGUCUAUUCCAGGUUCUUAUGCUGGCUAGUUUCUUCUUAAGAGACUACACUUCCAAACUUCCCUUGUAGCCAGACCAAAAUACUCUGGAAAGGAGGGAAAAUGGUAUGGUAGUAGUUUCCUCCCCUAUAAGGGGUCUCACCUUCUUUUAUAGGCAUUUUUUAUCCACACCCAGGGGUGACCAGAUGUUCCUUACCUUGAACAUGGUCCCGAGUAUAUAAAGUUGGACGGUGCUUUCUUCCUGCCCUUUCUGUCUUUCUUUAAGCCCACAUGCCCCAUGAAAUCUAACAAUGCUCUACAGCUAACUGCUGACCACGGGUGUCUCCUGAGUGCCAUAACCUGUUCUAGUGAAUUAUCAAAACCAUGAAGAGAUUAUGUGAACUCCAGAUAGUUAGGGAGCCUGCCUAGACCUUGGGCCUGCCAUCUGAAGAGAGGGCACUCUUGGGACUCUGGACAAACUCUGAAGUUAGUGUUGAGGCAGGAUAGAAAGGGAAGUCACGGGGAGAUGGGAAUGGGGAGCCCCUCGUUGCAGGCUAGCUAAUGCUUGUGGCCAGCUGAGAAUCAAGAAUUCCAGCACGAUGAACAUUUACUUUGAAGGUUCCUGGACCUAGGGGCAAUAUUUUAUGUAGAAAUAUUUUCAAAUGAGAGUGCUAAAAUAACAAUGAACCAAGAUUAACGCCCUGUAUGUAUGACUUCAGGUAUGGCCUCACUCCUCUCCCAGACAUUUUCUGGGAAUCUCACAAAUAAGACUGAGGUAGAAAAAUUUCAGAGGACAAAAGAAAUGAGUCCCUGACCCAAGAAUGCCAGGAGAAAAGCAAGAAUUCUAGCAUCAACUGCUUACUGCCUUUCUGCCUUCCCAGUUGUAAACCUGCAAUUUUCUAAGCAUCUCACCAGAAAACCCGCUUGCAGGAAGAUGUGUACUAACCCCAUUGUGCAAUCAAAAUUCACCUUAUUGAAUUGUGGUUCCCACCAGGACAUCUCUGGAACCCCUCACUAUCAAGGCAUAGAAAACCAGUUUCUUAGAAAUCUUUUAAGAUGUAACUUGAGAGCCACCAGAAUGGUACAUAUGGCUAAUGCUGAGAUGGUCAAUUAUACCUCUCUCUCUCCAUGUGCUAUGUCUUACUUUCUCCUAUAUCUCUUAGGGAGCACAGACCCACACUUAGGUGUAUGUACUUCUUUUCUGAGCACGUUUAAGUCUAUAUUAAGGUUGGGUUUUUUGCAUUUAAACAAUUUGUGUGUGUGUACACAUGUGCACCAGUACAUUCUUGUGUGUGUGUGUGUGUGUGUGUGUGUGUGUGUGUGACACAGCAUGCCUGUGGAGGUGAGAAGACAGGACAGCUUGGUUGUGGGUACAGCACUCACGCUAAUGAGUCAGCAGCUGUGGUAUGAGGACACACGUGCAGAGUCCCACCUAGGGCAAUCAUCCUGGCAAUCAGGCUGGAUGGCUGUUUGCCACCUGGUGACUCUGGGAACAGUUUAUUGACCAGCCCUUUUUCUGAGAAGCAAAGAAGUUAUAGUUGGGGAGGGAACCAGCUAUUCAAAGUGACUCCUUUUGGUGGAAUGGGAUCUCCUCAUUUGACUCCUGUCUUCUUCCCAUUUUGUCAGAAAAGGCACUUAGAAAAUUCUCAUUAAAUUGUUUUUACACUAUCCAAGGUCUCAGGUCAAUUAAUUCAGGCUUUUGUGCUCAUUUCUCUCUGAAGACUACCUGCUUCUUUUUAUUUUUCUUAUUUAAGAGUGUUAAGAGUAACCAGAGAACACAUUUCUAACCCCAAUAAGAAGUCUUAUCUUACUGUUUUGCUUUGUUUUGUUUUGCAUUUAAAGAGUUAUUUUUGCUGCUUUCUGUCCUUUCCCCUAUACUCUGACUUUUGCUUCUGUCAGGUUCUGUCUCCAGUCAAGCGGGGUGACAUUGGCCACCAUUUGCAGGAGAGAUGGAAACGGGUUGUGUUCCUUGAUUCACCAGUCGGUAGUUCCGGGCUGUCAGAUGUGGGGCAGCACAGGGUGGGGAGAGAGGAAUGAAGGGGGAAAUGAAGCCUCGAGUAGAACAGAGAAAGGCCACCCUCUCAGGGCGGCUGGACUGACUCUCCACACAGUUUCCCCCAUGCCAGGAGCUCUCCGGAGGCCCCAGGGAGCCUUUGGGCUGUGUGGAGGAGAGGAGGCUCUGAGUUGCAAGGACUGGCAGCUAUUGAAGCUCAAAAUGAAGCUAGGAGAGAAUUGGGGGUAAUGCCAACCUGAAAAUAUGGAGAGGACCUACCUACACUCCCUCCCCACUUCUCCUUUGCCCCCCACUUCCCUCCCCUUUAUAGAAGUUCUCUUAUUGAUUUUCUCGUGUCUUCUGGUUUUCUAGACUUGCUGUCAUCCAUCUCCUAUUAUAUUUAUUUACAACCCAUCUGAAGCUCUUCUUUACCUUCCCCUUAUUAUCCAUCUCUGUGGGUCUGCAAUGUGGAAAACCAAAUGGAUGAUAAAUGACUCUGGCUCAGAGCUGAGGCCUUCUGUCGAGUUCAUUUUUGGCCUCAGAGGCCACCGACAAUAGCAUUUGUAUCAUCUGUAUUUGUUUGGUCUCCCUUCCUGUUCCAACAGUGUUUAAUUUUUCAUGA